AAAAAAAGCAAAGUGAGGAACCUAGGAGAGCAAAAUGCUGAGUAUAAUGUGAACGCGAGGCAUGAAAGAGGAACGGAGAUGGCCGCCGUGAGAUUGACCGUCCACCAGCUUCCUCGGGAGUAUGCCCUCUGCUUGUUUUUUCUUCAACGCCGUCGCCGCAGCGGGCUGGUCGGUGGAUCCGGACUCCUCCGAGCUUGUGGGUGGUCCACCAUGGGGGUGCCGAGGCUGACCUUCCUCACCAAGCUGGGGCGGAGGCCGGUCGCUGGAGCGGCUGUGCGGGCCCUUGUCCACAUGCAGAGCAGCUAGCAAAGCUAGCAGUAGAAUGAGCGACUGUGGAUUGAGUCAUCAGCGAUAGGAUUUUAUGAGGAGAAGUACUUGGUAGGAUCUCGAGUCUACAUUCCAACAUGACCGCGUGUGGCACAUGAAGAUGAUGAAGGCUCAUUGAUGAUUUACUUUCCGUUGUGUUUGUUCUGAACAAUUUAUUUGAGCUAGUCCAUGUGACUAUACAAUUUGUAAGAUUUUUACUUUACCCUUUGGAUCAACGAUGUAGUAAUUUGAUACUAUUACAAUGAUUACUAUAUUUUGUAA